rnacentral:rRNA from 1 species
CAGCAGCCGCGGUAAUGCGAAGGGUGCAAGCGUUAAUCGGAAUUACUGGGCGUAAAGCGUGCGUAGGCGGUGAGUUAAGUCUGCUGUGAAAUCCCCGGGCUCAACCUGGGAAUGGCAGUGGAUACUGGCUCGCUAGAGUGUGUCAGAGGAUGGUGGAAUUCCCGGUGUAGCGGUGAAAUGCGUAGAGAUCGGGAGGAACAUCAGUGGCGAAGGCGGCCAUCUGGGACAACACUGACGCUGAGGCACGAAAGCGUGGGGAGCAAACAGGAUUAGAUACCCGCGUAGUCCCUGUCUCUUAUAA